GAUGAACGCUGGCGGCGUGCCUAAUACAUGCAAGUCGAGCGAACAGAUGAGGAGCUUGCUCCUCUGACGUUAGCGGCGGACGGGUGAGUAACACGUGGAUAACCUACCUAUAAGACUGGGAUAACUUCGGGAAACCGGAGCUAAUACCGGAUAAUAUAUUGAACCGCAUGGUUCAAUAGUGAAAGACGGUUUUGCUGUCACUUAUAGAUGGAUCCGCGCCGCAUUAGCUAGUUGGUAAGGUAACGGCUUACCAAGGCAACGAUGCGUAGCCGACCUGAGAGGGUGAUCGGCCACACUGGAACUGAGACACGGUCCAGACUCCUACGGGAGGCAGCAGUAGGGAAUCUUCCGAAAUGGGCGACAGCCUGACGGAGCAACGCCGCGUGAGUGAUGAAGGUCUUCGGAUCGUAAAACUCUGUUAUUAGGGAAGAACAAAUGUGUAAGUAACUAUGCACGUCUUGACGGUACCUAAUCAGAAAGCCACGGCUAACUACGUG
rnacentral:rRNA from 1 species